UACGAAGGGGGCUAGCGUUGCUCGGAAUGACUGGGCGUAAAGAGCUCGUAGGCGGCUUGCCACGUCUGCCGUGAAAACCAGCAGCUUAACUGUUGGCUUGCGGUUGAUACGGGUUGGCUGGAGUUCGGUAGGGGAGACUGGAAUUCCUGGUGUAGCGGUGAAAUGCGCAGAUAUCGAGAGGAACACCUGCGGCGAAGGCGGGUAGCUGGGCCGACACUGACGCUGAUGCGCGAAAGCCAGGGGAGCGAACGGG
rnacentral:rRNA from 1 species